rnacentral:rRNA from 1 species
AUUGAACGCUGGCGGCAUGCUUUACACAUGCAAGUCGAACGGUAACAGGCCGCAAGGUGCUGACGAGUGGCGAACGGGUGAGUAAUGCAUCGGAACGUGCCCAGUCGUGGGGGAUAACGCAGCGAAAGCUGCGCUAAUACCGCAUACGAUCUAUGGAUGAAAGCGGGGGACCGUAAGGCCUCGCGCGACUGGAGCGGCCGAUGUCAGAUUAGGUAGUUGGUGGGGUAAAGGCUCACCACGCCAACGAUCUUUAGCUGGUCUGAGAGGACGACCAGCCACACUGUGCCUGAGACACGGCCCAGAUUCCUACGGGAGGCAGCAGUGGGGAAUUUUGGACAAGGAGCGCCAGCCUGAUCCAGCAAUGCCGCGUGCAGGAAGAAGGCCUUCGGGUUGUAAACUGCUUUUGUACGGAACGAAACGGCUCUCUCUAAUACAGGGGGUUAAUGACGGUACCGUAAGAAUAAGCACCGGCUAACUACGUGCCAGCAGCCGCAGUAACAC